CACACAAAGAUGGCUUUCCCUAUUUGCCAGUUUCUCUUUCACAUAGUAUUAACCCUGACACAGCAGCAGGGAGCAGGGACAGGAGCUGACAAGCAGCAAGUGGGAUCUCAGCAAGGCAAAGAUCUUCUGACUCACAGAGUCUGACCACUUUGGGAGCGGAUUCACUAUAAUAUAAUGAAUUCUUGAGGCUGAUGAAGGUUAAAUUAUUGAAGAAAACAUAUGAAGUUAUGUGGAGUGGAACUUUUGUAUUUCCCUUUCAGCAUUUAAAAGGUUUUACUAAUGAGAAUAAUGAGGAAGAGGAAAAUUUUCAGAAGAUUUUGACAUGAGUGAGAAGAGCCAGAUUUCCCCAAAUGCCUAAUACUUCUUUAUGAAGCUGAAUACAUGGAGAGUACUUUGACCUCCAGGAACUGUCAGCACCAGAUACUUCACUGGAAAGUAUUAAGAGCCACAGAAGAGGGACUCAUCAGGUGAUCUCUUUCUCAAGUUUUGACUUAUCUGGAUUUCCAGACCAUAAUAAAUUUGAACCUUGAACCAUAAUGUUUGUUAACCAGAAAUGAAUCCUUCAAAAGUAGCAUUACUUACAUUUCUGGAUAGUCCAGUUCCCAAGCAUCAGUCUAUUUGAGAGCCUUACUAAGAUCUUUACCCCAAAGAUUCUACAGACACUGAGUACCACUGCUGCCAUUUGGAUGAAAAGCAUUUCUCUUCAGGGGUUCGGAACUAAAAUAUAGUACAGAGUAUCACACCAUGAUCUUCAAAGCUACUUGUUGCUUCUAAAAAUGUCCCUCAUUAUAUUAUGAAACAACUAAAAAUCUGAUCCUUUGUCCUGUGAUACUGUCAGAAAAUGAGGUAAAGGUUUGCAGAUAACGUGCUUUCUUCCCCAAAUUUCUUACUUGUCACAUUCUAGAAAGACUGCAGUUUUCUGAAUAGAAAGUCCAACAUCUAAAAAUAAGGUAUCCAAGACCACUCAUCUUCUGUACAAAUCUCAGCCCCAAAUGACCUUCCCUGAGAUUACUCACAACUGUACCCAGAAAAACAAAACUCUGGUAUUUUUGGAGAGAAAAGCUGUUCCUACUCAGGAUCAUAUGCUCCUUCCCAGAUUAGAUUAUAGCUUUCAUCAUCAGGCAAGUACAAUCUUACAUUUAUAACCAGUUUGUUAUAAUAAAUUGUUUUCUUUUUUGUUGUUGUUGUUGUCUGUUUUGUUUUUUAAAGUCUAAUUUUGGCAAAUUAGAUUUUUUUCCUCAAUUGAGCUACAUGCAAGCUUGAAAUCCAAAUGUUCCUUCCGACCAUGACUAUAUAAGCGCUUAUCACAUACUGUGCUUCAGCAACAAAUACAGAUCUGCAGCAUAUGACGCAAAGUGAUAGCAGAAGAUUCCAGGUGACACAUUUAGGAAAUCUAUCUUGUCUAUUUUGGAGACUAGAUGAGUGUAUCUAUUGCUUUAUAUGCAUUUGUACAAGCAAAAGAAAAAUUUGCUGUGCCAGAUGCUUGAAAAUAAGUCAGAUUGCUGUAAAAUAGCAUAAUUAAUUCAUCACACUGAACAAAGCAAACUUACUCCUUCUCAUAGAUAAGUAUAAAGAACAUAUAUUCUGUACAUAUGUGUGUGUGUGGAUAUACAUCUGUAUAAAAUAUAUACAUCAUCAUAAACUUUUUGGAAACCUUGUGUUCAAAGAUAUGGAAAAUGAUAUGAAUAAAUUAAAUGAAGUCAC